AAAUAUGUAAUUCCAUUGCCUGGGCCUUCCUAUAAUGCAGUCGAGCGGAUCUUCAUUAGCUUGCUUUUGAAGAUCAGCGGCGGACGGGUGAGUAACACGUGGGCAACCUGCCUGUAAGACUGGGAUAACUUCGGGAAACCGGAGCUAAUACCGGAUAAUCCUUUUCCUCUCAUGAGGAAAAGCUGAAAGACGGUUUCGGCUGUCACUUACAGAUGGGCCCGCGGCGCAUUAGCUAGUUGGUGAGGUAACGGCUCACCAAGGCGACGAUGCGUAGCCGACCUGAGAGGGUGAUCGGCCACACUGGGACUGAGACACGGCCCAGACUCCUACGGGAGGCAGCAGUAGGGAAUCUUCCGCAAUGGACGAAAGUCUGACGGAGCAACGCCGCGUGAGCGAUGAAGGCCUUCGGGUCGUAAAGCUCUGUUGUCAGGGAAGAACAAGUAUCGGAGUAACUGCCGGUACCUUGACGGUACCUGACCAGAAAGCCACGGCUAACUACGUGCCAGCAGCCGCGGUAAUACGUAGGUGGCAAGCGUUGUCCGGAAUUAUUGGGCGUAAAGCGCGCGCAGGCGGUUCCUUAAGUCUGAUGUGAAAGCCCCCGGCUCAACCGGGGAGGGUCAUUGGAAACUGGGGAACUUGAGUGCAGAAGAGGAGAGCGGAAUUCCACGUGUAGCGGUGAAAUGCGUAGAGAUGUGGAGGAACACCAGUGCCGAAGGCGGCUCUCUGGUCUGUAACUGACGCUUGAGGCGCGAAAGCGUUGGGGAGCGAACAGGAUUAGACACCCUGUUAGUCC
rnacentral:rRNA from 1 species